GAGUAACCUGCCCCUGACUUCGGGAUAAGCCCGGGAAACUGGGUCUAAUACCGGAUACGACUGCCGGACGCAUGUCUGGUGGUGGAAAGUUUUUUCGGUUGGGGAUGGGCUCGCGGCCUAUCAGUUUGUUGGUGAGGUAAUGGCUCACCAAGACGACGACGGGUAGCCGGCCUCAGAGGGCGACCGGCCACACUGGGACUGAGACACGGCCCCACUCCUACGGGAGGCAGCAGUGGGGAAUAUUGCACAAUGGGGGAAACCCUGAUGCACGACCCACGUGCGGGAUGACGGCCUUCCGGUUGUAAACCGCUUUCGCACGGAAGAAACGCAAGUGACGGUACCUGCACAAGAAAUACCGGCUAACUACGUGCCAGCAGCCGCGGUAAUACGUAGGGUACGAGCGUUGUCCGGAAUUAUUGGGCGUAAAGAGCUCGUAGGUGGUUGGUCACGUCUGCUGUGGAAACGCAACGCUUAACGUUGCUCGUGCAGUGGGUACGGGCUGACUAGAGUGCAGUAGGGGAGUCUGGAAUUCCUGGUGUAGCGGUGAAAUGCGCAGAUAUCAGGAGGAACACCGGUGGCGAAGGCGGGACUCUGGGCUGUAACUGACACUGAGGAGCGAAAGCAUGGGGAGCGAACAGGAUUAGAUACCCUGGUAGUCCAUGCCGUAAACGUUGGGCACUAGGUGUGGGGGGCAUUCCACGUUCUCCGCGCC
rnacentral:rRNA from 1 species